AGCGAACGCUGGCGGCAGGCUUAACACAUGCAAGUCGAGCGGGCAUCCUUGUGGUGUCAGCGGCAGACGGGUGAGUAACGCGUGGGAACGUGCCCUUCGGUUCGGAAUAACUCAGGGAAACUUGAGCUAAUACCGGAUACGUGCGAGAGCAGAAAGGUUUAUCUGCCGAAGGAUCGGCCCGCGUCUGAUUAGCUAGUUGGUGAGGUUAUGGCUCACCAAGGCGACGAUCAGUAGCUGGUCUGAGAGGAUGAUCAGCCACACUGGGACUGAGACACGGCCCAGACUCCUACGGGAGGCAGCAGUGGGGAAUAUUGGACAAUGGGGGCAACCCUGAUCCAGCCAUGCCGCGUGAGUGAUGACGGCCUUAGGGUUGUAAAGCUCUUUUUUCCGGGACGAUAAUGACGGUACCGGAGGAAUAAGCCCCGGCUAACUUCGUG
rnacentral:rRNA from 1 species